rnacentral:rRNA from 1 species
AUGAGAGCAACAAGUUUUUUUCAUGCUGCUGCGAACUGUCAUGCCAGGCGUAAUAAGAUCAGGGUUUUGGUUCAUGAGGGAGUUGAAUAUUAUGAGGACCAGCUCAAGUUACAGCUUGCCACCAGUUACUAUGCGGACAUCUUGGGUCAGCCUUCCCCGUCGCUGCCAACAGUUCAGCUUCACUCCCUCUACGAUCAUAUAGAUCUGUCCUGCCUCGACAACGAGUUCUUUUGGGCUGAAAUUCUGGAAGCAAUAAAUCACUCUCCUAACAACUGCGGCCCGGGUCCGGAUGGGUUCACGAAUGAGUUCUAUAAGUCCUUUCACAACGUCCUCAAGGUUGAUUUGCAGCGGUUCUUCUCAGACUUGUAUCACAACCGAGUGGAUCUCUCUGGUAUUAACACGGCGUUCAUCACUCUGUUGCCAAAGAAGGAAACACCUCUUGACAUCCGUGACUACCGGCCUAUAUCCAUGGUCCACAGCGUGCCGAAACUAGCAAGCAAGGUUCUCACCCGUAGGUUGCAGCGUCAGAUGCCGGAGUUGAUUCACCCGUUGUAG